rnacentral:lncRNA from 1 species
GUAUGUUUCAGAAAUGUUCACAAAGACACCUUACCUCUAGCAUAUAGGCUUACUGUUAUUUAGUCUUUCUUUUAAAAAAAUUGUUUUUUUUUUUUGUUUUUGCAGGCAAGUCUGGCCAACUAAAGCAAAAGUAAAAUUUAAUGGAAGGUUAUUGCUAACUCACAGAGAAGGCUGAGAACCAGGCUUGGAAGAGGGACUGAGAUAGCCCGAGAGGAGCAGAAAUGGUCUGCAGCAGUGGUCCGGGUACUACAGGAGGAACAGAAGGAGCGUAAAACACAGAUCCUUCCUUGGAGAAGCUGCAGGCCCUGGAUCUAAUUUCUUCUGUUUGGAAUUCAGAAGAGUAACUACAUACUUCACUUCACACCCCCCUUCUCACUUCCCAUCAACUCGGCUGUCCUGUUGGAGAGAAUUUGAAGACAUAAUUGCCAUGGUGCGGAAACUUCUAGACACUGGAAUGAGACAUUGUAGUCCUGAGAGGAAGAGGACGGAAGCAGGAGAUAGAAUAUAUGGAGCUUCUAAGACCAACAUGAGGAGCAGGACUGUGGGUUAAGUGGCGCAUCCACAGACCACCUGAUGAACAGGUUGCACAGGAGGGCAUAUGACAGAGUAGGAAUGGAGCCUGGGCUAGAUUCAAGCCGAGGGAGGUGUUGGUUCCCGCUAGUCCCCCAUGAGGCUAUAGAGCUGUGAAGCAGAGCAGAGGAUGAAAGCUCAGGCUCUGGCAUCUGAACACCUGGACUCUAAUCCUUUCUCCAUCUGACACUAGCUGCGGAGCUGUGGAAAAGUGACC